CAAGUUAUAGCUUAAAGUUAAAGUGUUUUAUUUACAUUAAAAAGAUUAUAAAUAAAUUAAUAUGACUUGA
rnacentral:tRNA from 1 species